rnacentral:tRNA from 1 species
GCUAGGAAGGUGGCUCAGUGGUAGAGCGCUUGCCUUGCAUGCAAGAGGCCCUGGGUUCGAUUCCCCAGCACCACAUAAGCA